rnacentral:rRNA from 1 species
AGAGUUUGAUCCUGGCUCAGAACGAACGCUGGCGGCAGGCUUAACACAUGCAAGUUGAACGGGAUUUGUGUGGUGCUUGCACCAUAUAAUGAGAGUAGCGCACUGGUGAGUAACACGUGGGAACGUGCCUUUUAGUGGGGGAUAACAUCUGGAAACGGAUGCUAAUACCGCAUACGCCCUGAGGGGGAAAGAUUUAUUGCUAAGAGGUCGGCCCGCGGUAGAUUAGGCAGUUGGUGGGGUAAAGGCCUACCAAACCUACGAUCUAUAGCUGGUCUGAGAGGACGAUCAGCCACAUUGGAACUGAGACACGGUCCAGACUCCUACGGGAGGCAGCAGUGAGGAAUAUUGGGCAAUGGAGGCAACUCUGACCCAGCCAUGCCGCGUGAGUGAGAAGGUUUUCGAAUUGUAAAGCUCUUUCGGGUGUGAAGAUGAUGACGGUAACACCAGAAGAAGCCCCGGCAAACUUCGUGCCAGCAGCCGCGGUAAUACGAAGGGGGCGAGCGUUGUUCGGAAUUACUGGGCGUAAAGGGUGUGUAGGCGGUUAAGUAAGAUAGUGGUGAAAUGCCGGGGCUCAACCUCGGAAUUGCCAUUAUGACUAUUUAGCUAGAAUGAUGCAGAGGAUAGCGGAAUACCCAGUGUAGAGGUGAAAUUCGUAGAUAUUGGGUAGAACACCAGAGGCGAAGGCGGCUAUCUGGGCAUUGAUUGACGCUGAGGCACGAAAGCAUGGGGAUCAAACAGGAUUAGAUACCCUGGUAGUCCAUGCUGUAAACGAUGAAUGCUAGUUGUUGGAGGAAUUCAGUGACGCAGUUAACACAAUAAGCAUUCCGCCUGGGGAGUACGGUCGCAAGAUUAAAACUCAAAGGAAUUGACGGGGACCCGCACAAGCGGUGGAUGAUGUGGAUUAA